AAAAUUUUUCAGUGCCCGCGGCCACACUGCUUGUAUCCAUUCGCCUUGAUUUGAUUCCGAGGCGAAUUUAUAUAAAUUCGCCUUGAUUUGUAUAAAUUCGCCUUGAUUUGUUCCAUAUUUUGUCUGCGUAUAGUCAACGUUGGUCAACAUUUUGGAAAAUGGAAAAUAUUCCGCGUACUCACGAAGAUAUUGAGGCACAAAUUGCCGACAUUCAAACUAA